rnacentral:rRNA from 1 species
UACGGAGGGAGCUAGCGUUAAUCGGAAUUACUGGGCGUAAAGGGCGCGUAGGCGGACAGUUUGGUCAGAGGUGAAAGCCCAGGGCUCAACCUUGGAAUUGCCUUUGAUACUGGCUGUCUUGAGUACGGGAGAGGUGUGUGGAACUCCGAGUGUAGAGGUGAAAUUCGUAGAUAUUCGGAAGAACACCAGUGGCGAAGGCGACACACUGGCCCGUUACUGACGCUGAGGCGCGAAAGCGUGGGGAGCAAACAGG